rnacentral:rRNA from 1 species
GACGGAGGAUGCAAGCGUUAUCCGGAAUUAUUGGGCGUAAAGCGUCCGUAGGCGGUUUCGAAAGUCUGUUGUUAAAGCCCACAGCUCAACUGUGGAUCGGCAAUGGAAACUGUGAGACUAGAGAGUGGUAGGGGUAGAGGGAAUUCCUAGUGUAGCGGUGAAAUGCGUAGAUAUUAGGAAGAACACCAGUGGCGAAGGCGCUCUACUGGGCCAUUACUGACGCUGAUGGACGAAAGCUAGGGGAGCGAAAGGG